ensembl:lncRNA
AGACCACAUUUCCUUCUCGACUCCAGUCAGUGCUGAAGUAAUUUAUGUUACUCCUUGUGGCAAGGGCUGGGAGGGGACUUUCUUCACACCCUGAGCUGAAUCCAGUUAAAGGAAGCUGAAGAGUCUAUCUAUUCAAACUUGAGCAAUAACUAGUCCUGAAGCAGAAUUUUACAUAGAAGCACUUCUGGUGAAAAUGCAGAAUAAUCUGUUUCCUCCGCUGCUUGAAACGCAACAUGGAAAUAGUAAAAGGGAUGCAAAGUAGGCAGAAGCAACACAACUAUCUCUUGCAAGAAGCUAACUUUGGCAUUUAUUAGAUACUGCAAGAGUACAGACUUGCUAAACUGAUGAAGCUUUCCUACUGCUGUGUUUCAAUGAAACUUGGUUUCUUUUGAAAAUUAGGUCCAUCAUUUAUUGAGAUUUUUGAAAAUCCUGCCUUUUGUUAAACUUCCACUGAUGUGAAAACAACGCAUUUGAAGAAAGCACAUGGCAACAUGCUUUUCUGAGUUGAAGUAACAGAUGAUGAUGAUCAUGUUGCAGCAGACGGAUGGCUGGACUCAUCGUGCUUGUAUCCAUCUCGGACCCAUUCCCGUUAAGACACAAGCGCAGCCUGACUUAUGGAAUCAAACUCUAUAACCACAAGGCAUAGACAAACCUUUGUCACACAUAAUUCUUUACCUUUGAGGAAGGAGGGUGAACUAAGAACAGAUGACCACUCGCUGCACCAGAACAAGGAGCUGAGGCAGUCUGUGAGAACUGUAUUUGAUAGAACGGAAUCAGCCAUUCAGCAUUUUCCGCAGUCUCUGCAAUGUUCUUAUUUAGCUUUCCCUACAUUCAAAGAGUCAAAAGUAGUUUUGCUUCUGGAAUUGUAUUGAAAAAAUAAAAGCAGUUGUGUCAAAGAUCUUCUGUGAUAGGAAACAGUGUCUUUUUCAUAUUUAGAAGCUGAAAAUAGAAGGAUUUUAUGAAGAGAGUUAAAAGCACUAACUUAGCCUUGAAAACACUAAUUUGAAUGACUAAUACUUCAACAAAAUUAAAGUUUUACAUUCUUUAGAGGGUUGAUAUAUCUUCAGCUGUCAACAUGAUAGACUGUCACAGACUGUUUUUCACAUAUGACAGAAAUAAAUCUUUCAGCAGUGGUCUAGACCCAGUAUGUGUUCUACAGGACUCUAUACAGUAGUAAAUUGAAUAGAGGAUGAAAGAAGAAGUGGGUGAGCGAUAACAAGACGAAGGGCAUAUGACAGUCACUUUUGGUACUUGUUUUCCCUGUCCUGCAUUAACAAUUUCUGAAAACAGUAUGUUGUUCCCAACUACACUGGCAGGCCACUUUUUGCAAAUCCAUGUUUCAGUACAUCUGCCCUAGAUCAUCAAUCUUAUGCUGAAAAAGUAGGAAAGAUAAAAUAAAUUAGAGAGGAAAGCUAUCUUAUUCCAGUACCUGAUAAUUUGAUGUUAUUCUUAAAGCUGUGGUGCAUCUUCCCAAGGGAGUUUCGUGAGGAAUGAAAGCAAGGUAUCCGGUAAAGCAAGUAAUUAGAGCUUCCUGACAGAUCAAGGAAGGAGGCUGAUGUAAAGACUGAAACAUGAUUAUCUCAGCCUUGAAAUUAACAGCAUAUGACCUAUGUGUUUUGGGCUUACUUACUAACUGCUUUCAGCACUGUGCAUGAUUAACUCCUGGUAAGCACUGAUGCGCGUUCUCUGUAGUUGGAAGCUUUAUCAAGAAUAGAAUGUAUGCUUUCAACGAUUAUCUGAAUGCAAUCAGUCUUUUUUUUUUUUUUCCCUAAGAUGGAUAGUGAAAGAGAGUUCUUACAAUUAAAAAGCUGAGAAAAAUUGAGAGGUUCAGGCUCUCUAUGGGUAUGUAUGUUACUCUGAGAUCAGUAUUACUUUUAAGAAUAAAAGAAAACCUUGUGAUGUUUUAUUU